CAUGGUUUCAGUGAAAUGUGGAGGUUUUCCAGGAAACGUUGCUGCAGUUCCUCCGUCUCAUCAAAUGAGAGAUUUCUCUGCACUAAAGAAGAAAAUCUUCCAGAACAGCUUCAAGCUGCAGAAAAACUGUUUCCAUCAUUCUGAGGACAUUUCUUUAGGCUUCAUGUGAAGAAAACAAACUGUUGGAAAAGAUGAAAACAGAAACAAAGAGGUUUCUAGAAGCUGCAGAUGCAGUUACAAAGAACAGCCACCAGGUGUCUUACUUUGGGAGUCUCUGAAAGUUCUGCUUCCAACCAUUAAGGGAUUUGAACCCUCAAUCUUCUGAUCCGAAGUCAGACGCCUUGUCCAUUAGGCCACAUGGUCUGUAAGGGCAGGAAGUUCCAGCUGGAGUUGGAGGAACUUCUGCUGCCUCAAAGAGGAAGGUGGAAGAGGAAGAGGAGCCGUGCAUGUGCUCCUCCUCAUGAGUCCUGAAGCUGCACCGUCAGCUGCAGAGCUUCAGAGCUGCUUCCUUCUCAGACUUUCCACUUUCUUUGGCUCUCUGGCUCUGAUGCUGCUGCUGCUGCCGCAGAAAAACCAGCAGCUGCAGAAAAACUCUGCAGAGACUCACAGAGAGAGGAUGGAGGCAGCAGAUGAAGCUGCUGCAGACUGGGGCGGAGCCUGGAGAUGACUGAUGAAGGUCAGAAGGCGGAGCUUCAUCAGGAUGAAGGUGCUGCUUGGAUUCUGGCUGGAUGUCCGUCCGUCCUCAGUCUCUUCAUGGCUGCUGCUUCUCUUCUGCUGAUGUUUCUGCAGGAAGAAGCUGCUGGAAAACGCUGAGUCUCUUCUUUCUGCAGCUUUUGAUAACAGAAACAGUCAUUUUUGUAUAAACAUCAAUGUUCCAGUCUCACUUUAAAUAAACUGCUGUCCUUCAUCAGCCGUUGCCAUGGAAACCAGCUGACUCCAGCAGCUUGACACAAGUGGGUUGAGGCAGGAGGGAUGUUUCUGGAAAAAUCAUUUUCUGCUUCAUCCCUGAGAAAGCUGAAGAAGAGGAGGAGUCCUGAGCGUCUUUUCUGGCGGGGACUCCUGCUUCACCUGCAGCCCAUCUCCACCCUCUGACUAUGUUUCUGACUGCUGUUCCAGCUCAUGGCCCCCAGUCUGUCAGCUAACGUCUAAUGGGAUGGAGCUGACAUCUGCUAGAAGAUUUCCUGUCAGACAUCAGACGUCUAGCAGCUGCUCUGCACUCUCUGAUCACUCUGUCAGGAAUGGGGUCUGGUCCAGCAGACCUCUGGGCGUUAACUCUUCAUGGAGUCUUCCUCAUGGCAGCCAUUGUGAGACAGAGCAGCUGGUGGUCAGGAGGAGGGAUGGUCAUGUUGUUCUGAGCCUCAAACAGCCUAGAGGUCAUUGGCUGCAUCUAGAAUGGAGGUGUGACUGUCACAGGCAGGUGAUGAUGUCCUGUAGUUGGAGAUCACCUGGAUGCUCUGUCACAUGUGGCGGGAAUCUCUGCUGUUCUGGAAGUGGAUUCUCUGAGCAUGUGGCUCAAAGGUGGAAGUUUCUUCUUCUGAGGAUUCAAAGCUGGAAAAGAGUUUAGUUUGUCUGAUCAGGAAACUGAAAAUGAGGACGUCAGCGGAGCAGAAAGAGGAGGAACACCGUCAACAACCAUGUUGGAGCUCCAACAGGCAUUUUCCUGACUCAGCAAAAACAUCUGUUUGUUUUUCUUUGUUCUGUCCAGCAGCUGAACAAAUGGAAGAAGGUUGGAGGUUCAGUGGACCAAGAGCUGGAUCAUCUAAAGGAAAACGGGCUCCACACACAACAUCUAUCAGUGUGUCGUCAACAAGAAGCUGAUUCCUAGAGAAAAGUGAGAGUUUCAGCUCUAAGGGGUCUGAAGUCCAUCUGAGAAGAUCACUAACUCAUCAGUCCUGCUGUCCCUGAAGACCGGCUUCAUGUUCAGAACCAGCUUCAGGUUCUGGGCUGGGAUUGGAUGUGUUGUGGUGGCAGGAAAGCAGGUUCAGACCCGGAUCAAAGCAGAAUGUAGAAAGUGUCAAAGUGUCAGUCAGACUCCCAGACAGAAUGUUCCAGAUCAGCAUUUAUUGGUCAUUUCUUGAUGUUCUUCAUCUUUGGAGAAAAGCAGAGCUAGAAAAUCAAACAAAGUUCUGUCUAUCUGCUAAAAACUUGGAUUCCUUCAGUCUUUCCCGUCUGGACAGAUUUCUUUGACGUCUUUUCUUUUCAUGUAAAUUCAGUCAAACAUGUUGAUCCUUCAUGAUGUGGAUGACUGGAUAUGAAACAGGGUUUUCUGCAUCAGGAACAUGUGAGAGGAAACCUGCUGUUCCUCAGCUGAGCUUCAUCAUUCCAUCUCAGCAGCAGAUGAGGAGGAUGUGCUGCUGGAAAAUCGGCCUCACAGACUCAGUUUGCAGCUUCUGCUUUCAGCUUUGACUUCUAGUUUCUGGAGAAACAGGAAAAAGAAACAGGAAAUCUCCACACCACUCUAGAACCAUCUAGAACAGUAUUAUGGGAUGUUUUUCAGCUGAAUCACUGGGAUCCAUCUUCAUGUUAACAUCAAAGUGAUCGUGUCAGAUGAAAGAGUUUCCUUCGUGUCACAAUAGGAUCCCAGAUCUCCCAUCAGGCCUUGCAGCUCCUGACUUUGUGAUGAGUUCCUGCAGAAACUCUUGGAAAUCUCAUGUUGAUUCUCUCCCAGUUGACAUCCAUGGAGAUUUUCACUGCUGUUGUUCAGCUGUAGAGUUUGUCACAGACGCUCAAACUCAUGAAGAGUUCAGCUGGAAGUUGAGAAGGAGGCUUUGAAACCAGCAGCAGUUUGAGUCCAUUCUGAUGUUCCAUUCAGGUUUCUGCUACAACAAGCCUUUAUUUUGAAAGAGCCAGUGGGGCAGAAACAAUAGAAGGAGGAGAUUACCAACCCCCCCUGGAAUGUUGCCCCCUGUGCAGUGGACUAGUGGGGGCAGGGACGGCUGAACCAAUCACAGAAGACUGUUGCAGCUUUCCCUCCAAAAGUCAACCAAUCAGAUGUUGUUGUUUGGAUUCUUUGUCUGGAAGUUUCCCAUGUGGAAGCUUCCAGAGUCUUUUCUGUUUGGUCUGCAGGCUGAGCAGAACUGACUCCUGCAGGAUCACAGGAACUUUCAGGAAAA